rnacentral:rRNA from 1 species
AUUGAACGCUGGCGGCAGGCCUAACACAUGCAAGUCGAACGAGUGGCGGACGGGUGAGUAAUGUCUGGGAAAGUGCCUGAUGGAGGGGGCUAACUACUGGAAAAGGUAGCUAAUACCGCAUAACAUCAGAUGUGCCAAGAUGGGAUGAGCUAGUUGGUGGGGUAACGGCUGACCAAGGCGACGAUCCCUAGCUGGUCUGCGAGGAUGACCGGCCACACUGGAACUGAGACACGGUCCAGACUCCUACGGGAGGCAGCAGUGGGGAAUAUUCGACAAUGGGCGCAAGCCUGAUGCAGCCAUGCCGCGUGUCUGAAGAAGGCCUUCGGGUUGUAAAGUACUUUCAGCGGGGAGGCGUUACCCGCACAAGAAGCACCGGCUAACUCCGUGCCAGCAGCCGCGGUAAUAC